AGAGCCUGGCAGGCUACAGUCCAUAGGGUCGCAAAGAGUCGACAUGACGGAGCACACUAAACAUACUUGUGGCUUCCAUGGCUGUUGAAAUGGAGCAUUUUUGUGGCAGAUAUCUAUAGGGGAGGAGGGCUGGGGAACUAGAGAGGAAAGAUAUUCCAAAAUCAAGCAGGGAUGGGAAUGCACAGUGUGGGAGAUGAGUUGUGAAGAUGGGAAGGAUGGAUCGAUAUUGAGUGAUGUAUAUUGAAGUGAGGAGAGGAGAUUGGAGAAUGGGGAAGGGUCCUGGGAGAUGGAAAGAGGCAAGCAGGGUUCUGGGACCAAGUUCCUGAGAGGAUUGGGCAGUAUUUUAAAUUUCUUCCAUUUCUCAAGUUAUUCUGUUGAUAAUGGUAAGGCUUUUUCCUCUGUCCAUCUUGAAAGAGAGCCCUUGCCAAUAAGUCUGCAAAGAUUGGCGGACUGGAUUCUGUGGCUGCUGUGUCCAGAACCUAGUGCCAGGGCCUGUUGAGGUUAUAAAAAAUAAGAAACAGACCCUUCUGUGUGAGGCUUCUAGACUAGCUAAGAAGACAAAGCAGAAAUGUCUAGGAAAAAAAUAAGCUAUCUUAGACUGUGACAUGGAAGGAGACCACUACAAAGUGCAAAUGGAUGGUUGAGAUUUGGGAUUUGAGAAGAACAAGAUGAAGUCUGGAGCUUGAUGAACAGCUGGCUGACUUCUGGAAUACUCCUAACUUGCUCUUGGCUAAGGGAUCCUUGAAAAUCCUAUGGAGUCUCUCUCUCCCUUAAGAGGGCUCCUCUCAGACUGAAAAUCGCUUCUCUAGCUGGAAUAGCAGGGUCCAGAGAGAGGUUCUAGAAAUGAAUCAACCCUGUAUCAACUUUUUCAGCCUGCUCACUGACCUCCAGGAUUUGGCUACAUUUCUUCUGGGAUAGCAAUGACUGUAGGAAACUCAAAAAGGGACAGAACUAAUGAUACAGGUAAUGGUUUUCAGGUUUUAUCUAUAUUAAUCAAAAGCCUGGGCCACUUUGAGGCAGGAUCCAGGUGCCUAAGCAGGGCCCAGGCUACUGUUAUAACUAUGUAAUAAUUGAGCACUGAUUAUGACAGGCUUCAUUAUGAGGUCAGGAUCACCCUGUAUAUGACCAGGAGGGGAUAGGCUGUGGGCAGUUGGAGGUUGGAGAGGUGUAGGGAAGGAGGUGGGACAAGUGUCACCCUGGAGUAGCUCUGCAGCGACUGCAGCAGUCUUCUGUUACCAGGACACCUGUAGAGGCAAUUUAGCUGGGAAAAGAAGUCUGGAACGGGUUGGCAGACUGUUCUUUUCUAAGCCUCUGCCUAGGAUGCUGCUGCUGGAUAGGAAAGGCUUUUAGGACUCUUGAUCGGUCCUACUCAAGGAGGUGCAGUUGUGGAUCACUCCACUAGAGGGCGUGCUUCCCAGGCCGCAACUCAAGGACUGAAGCCGGGAAAAAAUUGAUGAAUUCCGACGAACCACUAGAUGAGACAAGAACACUGCCCUCAGCAGAAAGGACCUUAGCAAGGAACAUGAAAUCCCGGAGGUGAUCACAAACAAGAAUGAGAGAAAAUAACAACUCAUGCCUAACAAAUCUGAUGCACCCAAUGGAGACCAAGUCGAAUGAAUUCCUUAUGCUGACGAGAGACAAAAUUGACAGCAGCGUACUCCAGCAGGGCAGCGAACACAAAGAGCAGGCACACGGCCAUCCAGAUGUCGAUUGCCUUCACAUAGGACACCUGCAACAUCCAUCA